CACGCUUAAUAAUAAAUAGAAAUAACUCAAAAAUUGGGAAAAUCUAGUUUUUGUCAUAAAACAUAAUAAUAAUGCGAAAAGAAUAGGUAGAGUUCGACAGCCUUUCAAUUUUCAUGAAUAAGACGGAGAUAAAAGAUCGAUCGCCUCUUUCAUUCCAAACGGGUUGGCAAUGUUGUCUGUCAAAAAGCGAUGCAUUUAGUGAUGAAUCAAUCUUGGUAAAAAGUAGACGUACGUUUUUGUGGCGUAAAGUAGAAUAUUGCUGUUUACAAUUAAAACGCUCUGCGACUAUGCGAAAAUGUUUUCAAGAGGCCGAAAGAUUUUAGGUCUACUAAAUAUCCCAGCAAUCGAAAAUGAGGGAGAAUUAGUGUCAAGUGUUGGACAUUGAUUCAGAUUUAUUGAAUUCACAAGAUCAAGAUAAUACCUCGUUAAACAUAGAAAAUAUUAAUCAUUCGAAC